rnacentral:rRNA from 1 species
ACGGAGGAUGCGAGCGUUAUCCGGAUUUAUUGGGUUUAAAGGGAGCGUAGGUGGGAAACUAAGUCAGUUGUGAAAGUUUGCGGCUCAACCGUAAAAUUGCAGUUGAAACUGGUUUUCUUGAGUACAGCAGAGGUACGCGGAAUUCGUGGUGUAGCGGUGAAAUGCUUAGAUAUCACGAAGAACUCCGAUUGCGAAGGCAGCGUACUGGACUGGGACUGACACUGAUGCUCGAAAGUGUGGGUAUCAAACAGG